UACGUAGGGGGCGAGCGUUAUCCGGAAUGAUUGGGCGUAAAGCGUCCGCAGGUGGCGAUGUAAGUCUGCUGUUAAAGAGUCUAGCUCAACUAGAUAAGAGCAGUGGAAACUACAUAGCUAGAGUACGUUCGGGGCAGAGGGAAUUCCUGGUGUAGCGGUGAAAUGCGUAGAGAUCAGGAAGAACACCAGUGGCGAAGGCGCUCUGCUAGGCCGUAACUGACACUGAGGGACGAAAGCUAGGGGAGCGAAUGGG
rnacentral:rRNA from 1 species